UUCAAGUCUCCAAGCUAAAUGCACAGUGGAUGGUUGCCUGGGUGACAGCCCGUAAACUAAGCAGUCUCUUUGCAACUAAACUGAAGGGCUUGUGCACACAGAACCAGCUUUAAUUAUCUUUUUUUUUUUUUCAAGUACUUUGGGAAAUAAUCAAAGAAAAAAAAUCUAAAUCUAUGUUGCUUUUAAAUGGAUCCCUUGUUGAAGUGUGGGGGUUGACAGCUGUCCCAGAAAAUCAGGGCCACGGUGAAUUAGAAUGAUGUUGACUGAUGUUUGGCUUGGUGUUUCUUCCACGGUAUACCAACUUCCUCGGCAAAACAUAUCACAGGUGAUUACAUGGAACUAAAAAGAUGAAUAAAAAUAAACUGAUUCAUGAUUUCCUGGAAGUAGUUUCAAGAGGUGAUGUGAAACUCAUCUGUGACCAUAUUAGUAAAGUCCAUUCCACCCUCGGAAACCUUAACUUUCAGCAUCCAAAGACUGGGAAUACACCUCUCAUUACUGCAGCAGCAGAAAAUCUAACAGAGUCAAGAGACAUUCCCGAUAUACCCAAAGAAAUGUAUUAGACUUCAUGUUGGAUACGAUGGUGAAUCAAACACAGAUGUCACUCCUGAGGAUCCUGUGGUCUAGUGGGACCACAUCAUGGAGCCUGAGUUUUUUCCUCCUUUUCCUCCUCACCCCUAGGCCCAUCAGUAUCUGGAAAUUCGUUCCCUGUUCUAACAGAUGCACAUAAUCCUGAAAGUAGGGAAAGAGGAGUAAAUAUGUAAUAAAAGACCUAAAAAGUCAAAAGAUUGUCCUCUU
rnacentral:lncRNA from 1 species